rnacentral:rRNA from 1 species
GACGAACCGUGCGAACGUUGUUCGGAUUCACUGGGCUUAAAGGGCGCGUAGGCGGGUGAUCAAGUCCGGGGUGAAAUCCUUCAGCUCAACUGGAGAAUAGCCUUGGAUACUGGUCGCCUCGAGGGAGGUAGGGGCGGGCGGAACUUCCGGUGGAGCGGUGAAAUGCGUAGAUAUCGGGAGGAACACCAGUGGCGAAGGCGGCUUUCUGGCCUGUUCUUGACGCUGAGGCGCGAAAGCCAGGGGAGCAAACGGG